CUGAUCUACAUUGUAAAGUGAAGUUACAGGAAAUAGGUUGUUCAUUUUCAAGUUGGCCGGGACUAGAACGAUCUACAGCAUCAUGUGCAAACUUAUUUUUUUUAUCUUGUUGUUAAUCCAAGUUCCUGCAUCUGCUAGGGUGUGGGUGAACCAGUGGUCCUUGAAAAAUGCUUACAUAGUAGGUGAAACAGCAACUCUUUAUUGCAACAUUACCUCAGAUCAAGAGGAGAUAAAAUUUUGUGGAAUGAAAUGGGUCAUCAAAGAUCAAGGUGAUCUGCUAGAAGCAAAAUCCUAUAAGCAUCGUGUCAACAUGAGCUCCACCAACACUUUUGCUUCCAUAACAUUGAGAAACCUGACCUUAAAAGACACCAUGCCAACCUGCAUCGCACAGUGCCACAUUGACGGUGACUUUCAAAAUACUUUCGGGAAGGGUGGCAUACUUCACAUUUUUGAUGACAUCAGCCAGAUGACAACACUGGUCCCAACGGAAAUGAAGAAAGACUAUUCUCUCCCUUGGCUCAAUUACAUUUUUCUGAGCAUAAACAUCUUGAUUUUCUUUGUGGCCACAGUUAUUUGUGUGUCAUACUACCGAACCCAAAUGAAGAGGAAUUAAGAAAAGGAAAUGUAUAGUAUUAGCAGCCCUGUUCCAGUGUGCCCUGUCCCGGUGAAUUGAUGAUCGACAUUCAGUUUUUUAAAUCAGUGUUGACUGUAUAAGGUAUGUUUGUCUGCUGGUUAAUUUAAGAUAACUUUUUCUGGGCUAGAAUUCUAAGUAUUUAUGUCCAGUCACUAUCUGAACAGAUAGGUUUACGUUUUUGUAUUAAAUACAGUGUUUUGAUCUAUACAUUAAGGCAUAUUAUAUUGAUCUUUGUAUUGAAUUUGUUUGUUUGUUGCUGUUUUUUCUUAAUAUGAAACAAAAGUAUGCAUUAUGGCUAAAAUCAGUUCUGUCACUUUCCACGCAGUAAAAGUUGGUUGAUAAUGAAAUGUUGAUUGAAGUUGAAAGGGAAUUUAUAAAGUAUGCUAUCGCGGCCAUAAACUAUAGUAUGCUAUGUUCAAGUCGACUGACCUUUUAAUUUGUCUACAUAUAUUGUUUAAAUGUUUUCUGACAUGGGUUUCACCAGA